UGCCCGCUGGCCAACAGGUAAUGCUUUUGCCUUCCACCCAGAAGGCCGCGGGUUCAAUUCCGGGUGGUGGCAA